GUUCUGUAAGCCUGCGAAGGUGUGUCGUGAGGCAUGCUGGAGGUAUCAGAAGUGCGAAUGCUGACAUAAGUAACGAUAAUGCGGGUGAAAAACCCGCACGCCGGAAGACCAAGGGUUCCUGUCCAACGUUAAUCGGGGCAGGGUGAGUCGACCCCUAAGGCGAGGCCGAAAGGCGUAGUCGAUGGGAAACGGGUUAAUAUUCCCGUACCUGGUGUUACUGCGAAGGGGGGACGGAGAAGGCUAUGUUGGCCGGGCGACGGUUGUCCCGGUUUAAGCGUGCAGGCUGGUUUUCCAGGCAAAUCCGGAAAAUCAAGGCUGAGGCGUGACGACGAGGCACUACGGUGCUGAAGCAACAAAUGCCCUGCUUCCAGGAAAAGCCUCUAAGCCUCAGGUAACAUCAGAUCGUACCCGAAACCGACACAGGUGGUCAGGUAGAGAAUACCAAGGCGCUUGAGAGAACCCGGGUGAAGGAACUAGGCAAAAUGGUGCCGUAACUUCGGGAGAAGGCACGCUGACACGUAGGUGAAGCGGUUUACCCGUGGAGCUGAAGUCAGUCGAAGAUACCAGCUGGCUGCAACUGUUUAUUAAAAACACAGCACUGUGCAAACACGAAAGUGGACGUAUACGGUGUGACGCCUGCCCGGUGCCGGAAGGUUAAUUGAUGGGGUCAGCGCAAGCGAAGCUCCUGAUCGAAGCCCCGGUAAACGGCGGCCGUAACUAUAACGGUCCUAAGGUAGCGAAAUUCCUUGUCGGGUAAGUUCCGACCUGCACGAAUGGCGUAAUGAUGGCCAGGCUGUCUCCACCCGGGACUCAGUGAAAUUGAACUCGCUGUGAAGAUGCAGUGUACCCGCGGCAAGACGGAAAGACCCCGUGAACCUUUACUAUAGCUUGACACUGAACACUGGUCCUUGAUGUGCAGGAUAGGUGGGAGGCUUUGAAGUGUGGACGCCAGUCUGCAUGGAGCCGUCCUUGAAAUACCACCCUUUAAUGGCUGGUGUUCUAACGUAGACCCGUGAACCGGGUUGCGGACAGUGUCUGGUGGGUAGUUUGACUGGGGCGGUCUCCUCCUAAAGCGUAACGGAGGAGCACGAAGGUUGGCUAAUCCUGGUCGGACAUCAGGAGGUUAGUGCAAUGGCAUAAGCCAGCUUGACUGCGAGCGUGACGGCGCGAGCAGGUGCGAAAGCAGGUCAUAGUGAUCCGGUGGUUCUGAAUGGAAGGGCCAUCGCUCAACGGAUAAAAGGUACUCCGGGGAUAACAGGCUGAUACCGCCCAAGAGUUCAUAUCGACGGCGGUGUUUGGCACCUCGAUGUCGGCUCAUCACAUCCUGGGGCUGAAGUAGGUCCCAAGGGUAUGGCUGUUCGCCAUUUAAAGUGGUACGCGAGCUGGGUUUAGAACGUCGUGAGACAGUUCGGUCCCUAUCUGCCGUGGGCGCUGGAGAACUGAGGGGGGCUGCUCCUAGUACGAGAGGACCGGAGUGGACGCAUCACUGGUGUUCGGGUUGUCAUGCCAAUGGCACUGCCCGGUAGCUAAAUGCGGAAGAGAUAAGUGCUGAAAGC
rnacentral:rRNA from 1 species